AAGUCAUAUGCUUGUCUUAAAGAUUAAGCCAUGCAUGUCUAAGUAUAAAUAGUAUACAGUGAAACUGCGAAUGGCUCAUUAAAACAGUUAUAGUUUAUUUGAUAGUGCAAUUACAUGGAUAACCGUGGUAAUUCUAGAGCUAAUACAUGCGCAAAUACCGGACGCAAGAAUGGUAGCAUUUAUUAGAUUUAACCAUCACAUGGUGAAUCAUAGUAACUUAGCUGACCGCGUGUAUACGUGGUAAAUCAUUCAAGUUUCUGCCCUAUCAGCUUUCGAUGGUAGUGUAUUGGACUACCAUGGCAGUCACGGGUAACGGAGAAUUAGGGUUCGAUUCCGGAGAGGGAGCCUGAGAAACGGCUACCACAUCUAAGGAAGGCAGCAGGCGCGUAAAUUACCCAAUCCCGAUUCGGGGAGGUAGUGACAAGAAAUAGCAACUCGAGCGGGUUUCCGUUACGGGAUUGCAAUGAGAUAAGUCCAAAUCCGUAAACGAUUAACAAUUGGAGGGCAAGUCUGGUGCCAGCAGCCGCGGUAAUUCCAGCUCCAAUAGCGUAUACUUAAGUUGUUGCAGUUAAAAAGCUCGUAGUUGAAAUUCGAGUCAGUUACUAGUUGGCUUUAGUCAAUUAGUCAAUUGAUUCUCCGUCUACAAUCCCUUUUGCGCUUUAGGGUUGCAGCUGGGCGAGUAGACAAUUUACCUUGAAAAAAUUAGAGUGUUCCAGGCAGGUCUUCGCCGGAAUACAUUAGCAUGGAAUAAUGGAAUAGGACUUGGGUCUUUUGUUGGUUUUAGGAUCUAAGUAAUGAUUAAUAGGGACAGAUGGGGGCAUUAGUAUUUAAUUGUCAGAGGUGAAAUUCUUGGAUUUAUUAAAGACUAACUUAUGCGAAAGCAUUUGCCAAGGAUGUUUUCAUUAAUCAAGAACGAAAGUUAGGGGAUCAAAGACGAUCAGAUACCGUCGUAGUCUUAACUAUAAACUAUACCGACUCGAGAUCGGAAGGGUAAUAUAUUAGUCCCUUUCGGCAUCGUAAGAGAAAUCAAAGUCUUUGGGUUCUGGGGGGAGUAUGGUCGCAAGGCUGAAACUUAAAGGAAUUGACGGAAGGGCACCACCAGGAGUGGAGCCUGCGGCUUAAUUUGACUCAACACGGGGAAACUUACCAGGUCAAAACAUGGAUGGGAUUGACAGAUUGAAAGCUCUUUCUUGAUUCUAUGGGUGGUGGUGCAUGGCCGUUCUUAGUUGGUGGAGUGAUUUGUCUGGUUAAUUCCGAUAACGAACGAGACCUUAACCUGCUAACUAGUUUGCUUCUGAACAAGAGGUAUAACUUCUUAGAGGGACUAUGUAUGUAAGUGCAUGGAAGUUUAAGGCAAUAACAGGUCUGUGAUGCCCCUAGACGUCCUGGGCCGCACGCGCGCUACACUGACACGUUCAGCGAGCUUAUUUACCUGUCCCGAAAGGGCACGGGAAAUCUUGUUAGGACGUGUCGUGCUGGGGAUAGAUCUUUGCAAUUAUAGAUCUUGAACGAGGAAUUCCUUGUAAGCACAGGUCAUCAGCCUGUGCUGAAUACGUCCCUGCCCUUUGUACACACCGCCCGUCGCUCCUACCGAUUUCGAGUGAUGUGGUGAACUAUCUGGACUGCGAGUGGGCUCGAACCAUUUGCGGGAAGUUUCGUAAACCUUAUCACUUAGAGGAAGGAGAAGUCGUAACAAGGUUUCCGUAGGU
rnacentral:rRNA from 1 species